rnacentral:rRNA from 1 species
GACGGGAGAUGCAAGCGUUGUUCGGAAUCACUGGGCUUAAAGCGCGUGUAGGCGGCUCGGUAAGUGUCUUGUGAAAUCCCAGGGCUCAACCUUGGAAUCGCUGGGCAUACUGCCGGGCUUGAGGUAGGUAGGGGUCACUGGAACUCUAGGUGGAGCGGUGAAAUGCGUAGAUAUCUAGAGGAACGCCCGUGGCGAAAGCGGGUGACUGGGCCUGUCCUGACGCUGAGACGCGAAAGCGUGGGUAGCAAACGGG